rnacentral:rRNA from 1 species
AGUGAACGCUGGCGGUAGGCCUAACACAUGCAAGUCGAACGGCAGCACAGUAAGAGCUUGCUCUUACGGGUGGCGAGUGGCGGACGGGUGAGGAAUACAUCGGAAUCUACUUUUUCGUGGGGGAUAACGUAGGGAAACUUACGCUAAUACCGCAUACGACCUACGGGUGAAAGCAGGGGAUCUUCGGACCUUGCGCGAUUGAAUGAGCCGAUGUCGGAUUAGCUAGUUGGCGGGGUAAAGGCCAACCAAGUCGACGAUCCGUAGCUGGUCUGAGAGAAUGAUCAGCCACACUGGAAGUUAGACACGGACCAGGCUCCUACGGGACGCAGCAGUGGGGAAUAGUGGGCAAUGGGCGCAAGCCUGAUCCAGCCAUACCGCGUGGGUGAAGAAGGCCUUCCGGUUGGAAAGCCCUUUUGUUGGGAAAGAAAAGCAGCAGGUUAAUACCCCGCUGUUCUGACGGUACCCAAAGAAUAAGCACCGGCUAACUUCGUG